rnacentral:rRNA from 1 species
GCAACUCCUCGAACUUCUGCUUCAGAUCCUUGGGCGUGUACCUGUACUGGUCUAGGCCGUCAUACCAGGUGAUCCUCUCCAACAUCUCCAGCUCCCCUCUCACCAGCCAGUCCCCGUUAGCCAUGAACUGCUUGAUGUAGGGGUGGUUGGGGUCGGUGGUGCCGGACUGCCUGGCACACCUCUCUUCCUUACGAUGUUCCUGAGCACAGCCUUGGCCACCCCUCUGUACCUGAGUAC